CUUGGUUAUAAAAGUGAGUUACCUAAACAAAAUGGAAUCGCCAGAGGAAACAAGACAUAGAAAAGCGAUGUUUCGGCGCGUGUACAUCUUGCUCAUAGUGAACAUGUUGGGGAUCGCUGCUGUAUCAGUGAUGUUCACUGCCCUGGUUCUGUAUAUUCAAAGUAUUUCGACCAAACAGCCACUGUGGCUUGAUUCAAACUUGGAUUAUUUAAAAUUAAGACCGAUUGAUGCGCUCAGCAAAGACCAAAAUUAUAGUUUAUUUAAUUAUUAGUGUGUUCUCUCAGUAUUCCCGAGUAAGGUCGGCGGCAGGUGUGAUGUUCGCACGAGCGGACACUCCUGAGUCGGAUGAUACCGCUCCGCCGAGCGAGUUAUGAACAAUUUCUGGAAACAUUUCAAACAGAGCUAGUCUGUUAUAUUUAAAUAAAAUUUAAUAUUUCAAUUGCUAUGUAAGUAAAAGAAAGAUUAAAUAAAUUAUUAAGUGAAGGAAAUCCCUACCCCAAAAAGAA